CAAUAGCGUAUAUUAAAGUUGUUGCAGUUAAAAAGCUCGUAGUUGGAUUUCUGGUGGGAGCGAUCGGUCUGGCGCUUAGCGCGAGUACUUGCAUCGUCUCCGGCCAUCCUUGGGGAGAGUCUGUCUGGCAUUAGGUUGUCGGGCAGAGGAUCCUCAUCGUUUACUGUGAAAAAAUUAGAGUGUUCAAAGCAGGCUUAUGCCGUUGAAUAUGUUAGCAUGGAAUAAUAAGAUAGGACUUUGGUACUAUUUUGUUGGUUUGCGCACCAAAGUAAUGAUUAAUAGGGACAGUUGGGGGGUAUUCGUAUUCCGUUGUCAGAGGUGAAAUUCUUGGAUUUACGGAAGACGAACUACUGCGAAAGCAUUUACCAAGGAUGUUUUCAUUAA
rnacentral:rRNA from 1 species